CCGUUGCGGCGUGCUAUACAUGCAAGUCGAACGAACUCUGGUAUUGAUUGGUGCUUGCAUCAUGAUUUACAUUUGAGUGAGUGGCGAACUGGUGAGUAACACGUGGGAAACCUGCCCAGAAGCGGGGGAUAACACCUGGAAACAGAUGCUAAUACCGCAUAACAACUUGGACCGCAUGGUCCGAGUUUGAAAGAUGGCUUCGGCUAUCACUUUUGGAUGGUCCCGCGGCGUAUUAGCUAGAUGGUGGGGUAACGGCUCACCAUGGCAAUGAUACGUAGCCGACCUGAGAGGGUAAUCGGCCACAUUGGGACUGAGACACGGCCCAAACUCCUACGGGAGGCAGCAGUAGGGAAUCUUCCACAAUGGACGAAAGUCUGAUGGAGCAACGCCGCGUGAGUGAAGAAGGGUUUCGGCUCGUAAAACUCUGUUGUUAAAGAAGAACAUAUCUGAGAGUAACUGUUCAGGUAUUGACGGUAUUUAACCAGAAAGCCACGGCUAACUACGUGCCAGCAGCCGCGGUAAUACGUAGGUGGCAAGCGUUGUCCGGAUUUAUUGGGCGUAAAGCGAGCGCAGGCGGUUUUUUAAGUCUGAUGUGAAAGCCUUCGGCUCAACCGAAGAAGUGCAUCGGAAACUGGGAAACUUGAGUGCAGAAGAGGACAGUGGAACUCCAUGUGUAGCGGUGAAAUGCGUAGAUAUAUGGAAGAACACCAGUGGCGAAGGCGGCUGUCUGGUCUGUAACUGACGCUGAGGCUCGAAAGUAUGGGUAGCAAACAGGAUUAGAUACCCUGGUAGUCCAUACCGUAAACGAUGAAUGCUAAGUGUUGGAGGGUUUCCGCCCUUCAGUGCUGCAGCUAACGCAUUAAGCAUUCCGCCUGGGGAGUACGGCCGCAAGGCUGAAACUCAAAGGAAUUGACGGGGGCCCGCACAAGCGGUGGAGCAUGUGGUUUAAUUCGAAGCUACGCGAAGAACCUUACCAGGUCUUGACAUACUAUGCAAAUCUAAGAGAUUAGACGUUCCCUUCGGGGACAUGGAUACAGGUGGUGCAUGGUUGUCGUCAGCUCGUGUCGUGAGAUGUUGGGUUAAGUCCCGCAACGAGCGCAACCCUUAUUAUCAGUUGCCAGCAUUAAGUUGGGCACUCUGGUGAGACUGCCGGUGACAAACCGGAGGAAGGUGGGGAUGACGUCAAAUCAUCAUGCCCCUUAUGACCUGGGCUACACACGUGCUACAAUGGAUGGUACAACGAGUUGCGAACUCGCGAGAGUAAGCUAAUCUCUUAAAGCCAUUCUCAGUUCGGAUUGUAGGCUGCAACUCGCCUACAUGAAGUCGGAAUCGCUAGUAAUCGCGGAUCAGCAUGCCGCGGUGAAUACGUUCCCGGGCCUUGUACACACCGCCCGUCACACCAUGAGAGUUUGUAACACCCAAAGUCGGUGGGGUAACCUUUUAGGAACCAGCCGCCUA
rnacentral:rRNA from 1 species